rnacentral:rRNA from 1 species
GACGAACGCUGGCGGCGUGCUUAACACAUGCAAGUCGAACGGAAAGGCCCUGCUUUUGUGGGGUGCUCGAGUGGCGAACGGGUGAGUAACACGUGAGUAACCUGCCCUUGACUUUGGGAUAACUUCAGGAAACUGGGGCUAAUACCGGAUAGGAGCUCCUGCUGCAUGGUGGGGGUUGGAAAGUUUCGGCGGUUGGGGAUGGACUCGCGGCUUAUCAGCUUGUUGGUGAGGUAGUGGCUUACCAAGGCUUUGACGGGUAGCCGGCCUGAGAGGGUGACCGGCCACAUUGGGACUGAGAUACGGCCCAGACUCCUACGGGAGGCAGCAGUGGGGAAUAUUGCACAAUGGGCGGAAGCCUGAUGCAGCAACGCCGCGUGCGGGAUGAUGGCCUUCGGGUUGUAAACCGCUUUCGCCUGUGACGAAGCGUGAGUGACGGUAAUGGGUAAAGAAGCACCGGCUAACUACGUG